UCACAGCAGAUUCUUCACGCCCAGCA
rnacentral:piRNA from 1 species